AGCACUGUUGGUAUCUGCAUCCAGUUGUAUGUCUGACUGGAAUGUUCAAAUGCCAGUGCUAGAGAACCUCGGCACCCGCUCUAAUUGGACCUUAUGUUUGUUGUUGGGUCCUGGUGGUGGUCGAGACAAGGCC